GUAGGCAUCUACCGGUUGGGAAAGGUGCAACUGCACCGCAGAUGGAGGAGCCCGCGGCGCAUUAGCUAGUUGGUGGGGUAACGGCCCACCAAGGCGACGAUGCGUAGCCGACCUGAGAGGGUGACCGGCCACACUGGGACUGAGACACGGCCCAGACUCCUACGGGAGGCAGCAGUAGGGAAUCUUCGGCAAUGGGCGAAAGCCUGACCGAGCAACGCCGCGUGAGCGAAGAAGGCCUUCGGGUUGUAAAGCUCAGUCACCCGGGAAGAGCGGGCAGGAGAGGGAAUGCUCCUGUCGAGACGGUACCGGGAGAGGAAGCCCCGGCUAACUACGUG
rnacentral:rRNA from 1 species